rnacentral:rRNA from 1 species
AUACCCUAUUAUUUUUAUGGUAAAUUAUUAAAGGCCUGAGUAGUAAUAGUUAAAUUCUUUAAACUUAAAGAAUUUGGCGGUAUUAUAGUCUAUUUAGAGGAAUCUGUUAAGUAAUCGAUAGUCCGCGUUGAAUCUUACUUGUUUUGAGUUCUUGUAUAUCGCUGUUUAAGAAGAUAUUAUAAGGUUAUUUUUAAAAUCAUGAGUUUGUAAAAAUUUCAAGUCAAGGUGCAGUAAUAAAUAAGUUAAAUAAUGGAUUACAAUAAAUUAUAUUUAAAAUGGAUUUUUAUUUGAAAUUGAAAUGAAGGUGGAUUUAAUUGUAAUUUUUUGAAGAUUGUUGAAGUGAUUUAAAGCUCUAUAAUAUGUACACAUC